rnacentral:rRNA from 1 species
GGUGGAGCACGUGGCUAGUGUGUCGAUGAAGAGCGCAGCCAACUGUGUGAAUUAAUGUGAACUGCAUACUGCUUUGAACGUCGACAUCUUGAACGC